rnacentral:lncRNA from 1 species
GGAGAAGGCCCCUGCACCUUUAACACUGGCCCACAACCCAAAGAAAACUCCUGGAUGGAUUCCGUCUAGAGAAAGGCCAAGAAAGCCAGCAAGAAUGAGAGAGAGAGCACACAGCAGGGGGAGCAGCAGGUAGAGGGAGAAACUGGCUCCCUGUUGAGCAAGGAGCACAGGAACUUGUGGGACUUGAUCUUGGGACCCUGGGAUCAUGACCUGUGCCGAAGGCAGACACUUAGCCAAAUGAGCCACCCAGCCAUCCUCAGAAGAUGUUUAAAAGCAAGGUGUAGAUCUGGUUAG